rnacentral:lncRNA from 1 species
GCAGUUGUCUUUGGUAGUUUUUUUGCACUAACUUCAGGAACCAGCUCAUGAUCUCAGGAUGUAUGGAAAAAUAAUCUUUGUAUUACUAUUGUCAGAAAUUGUGAGCAUAUCAGCAUUAAGUACCACUGAGGUGGCAAUGCACACUUCAACUUCUUCUUCAGUCACAAAGAGUUACAUCUCAUCACAGACAAAUGGAGAAAGGGUACAACUUGCCCAUCAUUUCUCUGAACCAGGUAUGUUAAUAUUUGACAAAGAAUAAAAGUCAUUCCAUUUUAAACUAUCCAUUGCUUGUUUCAAAUGCCUAAGAAAAUGUGUCUAUCUUAGAAGAGCAUAUGUUGUUAACUUUAUUCACACAAAAUUGUAAAGGCAAAGAAAAUAUUCUC